GUGACCCAGCCGUUCCAUAAGGUCACACAGGAGGAUACGGCUCAAGGCACACUCCAUGUACAGGCACAAGAAGACGUGGAUUGACUGGUCGCUUUAAUUGCACUCCCCCAUUUCUAAAUGGUCUUUUCCGUGGCUCUUUCAGAUCCACACCGUGAGAAACCCACUUUCUGUCCUCAAUUAUUUGGACUUUUGUUGAGCAAAGAGUUACCCAGCAUCUCUCAAUCUAGCCACAACUAAGAGGUGUAUCAGGAGUGAGAAGUGCGUGGGACAGCAUCUGAAGGCUGCCUGCAAAUUCAGUAUUCAAGUGACCAAGCCACGACACCAAACAGAGACAGUCAGGCUAGUUCUUCGUGGAACAAUACAAAACCCACCCAGACCAAGGAUACAUUGAGAAAUCAGUCCAUAUUCUUCCAAAGCCUGUCUGAAAUGUACAUAAACCAAAGGAACCUUUUUGACAGUCCUGAUCAGAGUUAAGAAUUCGAAAUAAAAUGAGGUAAUGUGAUUUUA